rnacentral:rRNA from 1 species
AGUGGCGCACGGGUGCGUAACGCGUGGGAAUCUGCCUUGGGGUUCGGAAUAACAGCGGGAAACUGCUGCUAAUACCGGAUGAUGAUGCCUGGAGAGAUCUGGGGGUCCAAAGAUUUAUCGCCCUGAGAUGAGCCCGCGUCCGAUUAGCUUGUUGGUGGGGUAAAGGCCUACCAAGGCUUCGAUCGGUAGCUGGUCUGAGAGGAUGAUCAGCCACACUGGGACUGAGACACGGCCCAGACUCCUACGGGAGGCAGCAGUGGGGAAUAUUGGACAAUGGGCGCAAGCCUGAUCCAGCAAUGCCGCGUGAGUGAUGAAGGCCUUAGGGUUGUAAAGCUCUUUUACCCGGGAUGAUAAUGACAGUACCGGGAGAAUAAGCUCCGGCUAACUCCGUGCCAGCAGCCGCGGUAAUACGGAGGGAGCUAGCGUUGUUCGGAAUUACUGGGCGUAAAGCGCGCGUAGGCGGCUUUGUAAGUUAGGGGUGAAAGCCCGGUGCUCAACACCGGAAUUGCCUUUAAGACUGCAUCGCUUGAAUCCAGGAGAGGUGAGUGGAAUUCCGAGUGUAGAGGUGAAAUUCGUAAAUAUUCGGAAAAACACCAGUGGCGAAGGCGGCUCACUGGACUGGUAUUGACGCUGAGGGGCGAAAGCGUGGGGGAGCAAAC